rnacentral:rRNA from 1 species
CCUACGGGUGGCUGCAGUGGGGAAUAUUGGACAAUGGGCGAAAGCCUGAUCCAGUCAUGCCGCGUGUGUGAAGAAGGUCUUCGGAUUGUAAAGCACUUUAAGUUGGGAGGAAGGGCAGUUACCUAAUACGUGAUUGUUUUGACGUUACCGACAGAAUAAGCACCGGCUAACUCUGUGCCAGCAGCCGCGGUAAUACAGAGGGUGCAAGCGUUAAUCGGAAUUACUGGGCGUAAAGCGCGCGUAGGUGGUUUGUUAAGUUGAAUGUGAAAUCCCCGGGCUCAACCUGGGAACUGCAUCCAAAACUGGCAAGCUAGAGUAUGGUAGAGGGUGGUGGAAUUUCCUGUGUAGCGGUGAAAUGCGUAGAUAUAGGAAGGAACACCAGUGGCGAAGGCGACCACCUGGACUGAUACUGACACUGAGGUGCGAAAGCGUGGGGAGCAAACAGGAUUAGAUACCCGUGUAGUC